rnacentral:lncRNA from 1 species
GAGCACGGAAUUGCUGAAGUUGUGAAGGUUGAUGCUGUGAAUGCGCUCGGUCAUCCCCUUGCAACUGAUGUCACCUGCAGCAUGUCAACGCAGACACAAAACAGGGCAUGGGUCAGAUCUAGCUGGUUGCAUUCCUAACACCUAGGUUUCAGAGUAAAAAUACAGAGUCAGCUUGUGAUGGCAUUCCCUCAAAACAUGGAAGGAAUUGCAGUAAUGAAAGUCAUCAUGUAUUCUAAGAGACUGUUCUGCGAGAGCACAACACAGACGGGGCUAAAGCAGGGAUUGUCUAAGCCCAGUGUGGAGGAACCAUCAAGGAUUUCAGCACGUUUUUUUAGCCAUUGUACAGUUUGUGAAAAUUAAGUUUUACUCUGUGAAUAAAGAAUUGGAUAGAUAAUUCCAGACAACAUUCUGAAAGACACUUACGCCGUCAUUCCAAAGUUGAAAUGAAAUGAGGGGGAGAAGACUUGCUGGGACUAAGGAAAAAAGUCAAUGAAAUCUGAGUGAGAAGCAAAAGUGCUCAGGAGUUAAGAGAAGCAGACGUCCGAAAUUAUCUCCAUGCAUUACCAAAAACCGUGGGCACCACGGCACGGGGAAAACUUACCAGGUACAAUGAGCCAGUGACUGUUACUGAAUUUCUUAAGAUUACACUUUUCCCAACUACUGCAGACUGCUUCAGAAUAGAAGAAGACAACUCUCAUGCCAUCAAGCCGACGGACUUUCAAAAAAAUAAAAGAUGCAUUUCUUUACUUGUAAGUAUUUGUCUUUGCAAAGGGCUCUCUGAUAUGGUAGCACAGAAGUUUGCACAUUCUAAGGAUCUGAUGUUUUGCCCUCUUCGGGUAUCCCGGCUGGAAGGAGCUACGGUGAAAGGGCACCUAAGGUGAAUGGACAGAUUGUAGAUGGGUGCACACAGGAAAAUGUACAGCUCCUACAAUGUAUUCUGAGGGCCCAUGAGAAGUAAAAGCAGGCACUGGCAUUCUGCACAGAUGAAAUACUUCCUACGACAGGAAUACAUGCUCACUUGUGGACUUCUCUGUAAUCUGUAGGCAACAUCAGCUCCUGAUUUCUAGGUCUGGAUCUGGGUUCUCUGUAGCACAGGAAGGUCUCUACUUCUCCUACAUAAAUGCCUUGCAUGGCGGGAACUAAAUCAACUACACAGACCCAUACAUCCAGAGAGCAGAGGUGAGCUGGAUACAAGUGGCUUAGAGAUGUGGUGGAAGGAGGCCAGAGCUCCAAGGGAAGGGCAGCAAGGAGACAACAGCAUGGGUUGCAGCUCAGACAACAGGUAAAUAAAACCAAGCAAAGCUGCUGGUCACAGAUUUGACCAGGGUGGCAAGAAAUGACAAGCUACCAUGAGAUUCAACAGUGGCACGGAAGGAUGAUGAGAAGCAAACAGAUUAGGAGAAGCUGCCACCACCGUACAUAGAGGCACAGAUGACCAAGCAGAACAGCACCAGUCCCUGCAAGGUGUGCUCAGAUACAGCUCAGCACAGCCAUCUGGCCAGGAGGGAAUGAUAAUGCACAUGGUGUGCACUGCAGCCGGGAAGUUGAGAACCGCUGUGGGCACCUCAGGACUGAGUCUGGUUACCCUGCUGAUCCAAGAAAUGAAGCCAUCUAAAAUUUUGCCUGCUUUCA